ensembl:lncRNA
GUAGAUGCUGAAUGCUCUCCUUACAGCCCUGGAAGUGAUUCAAUAAGAACACAUUGGACAGAACUUUGAAGCUCAGCAAGGGCUGGGCUGUCCCCUCACCAAGCACACAGCUGUACAACAUCCUACACAUGGCAAGAACAAAGAUCUGACUCGGAUUUGAAUGACUUCUUGGUCCAGACAGGCAUCAGCCUGAGCCAGCUCCCUCGCCUUGGUGGGUUUUAGGAAGGUGACUGGGAUUCUGGGGUCUAAGCCAAGCCUUUGUCCCUCCUAAUUUGCCCAUUCUAAGUGAGAGGUAGCAGUGCCAGCCCUUAGAAAGGUGCCAGUUGUGUUCUUAAAUGCAUCCAUAUUUUAAGGCUGAAGGUGUGGGACAGGCCAAUCAUUAGUUCUCAGUUUAAUUUUUUUUCCAGAGGUGUUGUGACCUCCUGCCCACGGAGGUUUUCAGGCUGUGCAGCUGCACAGGGCCAGGAUGUCAACACUGGCAUGCACAGCUGCCAGCAUUGCUCAGAGGUCAAGCUCCCAGAAUUAUGAGACAGUCCAAGAAGAGAAGGAAGAAACCUAAAGCUUGGAAAAAAGGCAGGGGGAAAAAAAAAAAGUCUGAAGCUUAAAUGUUUGUGGCAGCUCCUAAACUAUGGCAAGAGGAGCUCCCGUCUCUGCAAUCCAGUUCAAAGCCAGGGUUCAACCAAGAGCCAGGCUUCAUUCCCAACUCCACCCUCAGCUUCAGCAAGGCCAGAACAAUCCUCCCAACACUUGACAAAGCAGAUCUAUCCCAGGGAAGAGAUUUCCAGCAUGCUGGGAAAAAAAUCUGGCAAUGCCUCUGGACAGCUUCAGCCAUCAAAACUCUGGGGCCUCUCAUUUAUUGGUAUCAAGGAGAUGCAGGAGGAUGGAAAAGGCUGUGGAGGGAUCCAAUGGCCAUGGACCAGUCUGAAGUUUGGCUCCAUCAUUCAGGGCACAGGAUUUAGUCAUUAUGUGGAAUCAGAGGCAAAACUGAAUCACGGGCCAGUUUUCUCCUCCAGUUUGUGAGGGAAGUCAAGGGAACAUGCUUCUCCAGACCCAUCUCCUGUUGGCUUUUCUCUCCACUGCUGGCACAAUCCCAGCAAUUAAACUGAGCCUCCUGAUGAGAGUUAUUAUUUUUAAUCCGGCUCGUUGCGGGGCACAGGCGGUUCCACUAAUCCGUUUUUGGCACGUCUGCCCUUCCCAGCACUGCUCUCCUUGUGACAGGAGCAGGGGAGCUCUGGGAGCACCUGGCUCCCCCAUGGAUGAGGGGCUGACACCCUGCUUGAGGGAGUGAUCCUAAAUCCACAAUCAGCUCAGAGUCAAGUGGGACCAGGGAGAGAUGGGGAAGUGAAUGGAUUGACAAAAUCAAUUGUGGAAAUCAAUUCCUGGCAGAAAAAUCUCCAUUUCCAUGCAUCUGCAGGGCUGGAAACUGCAAGAGAAUUAGUGGGAUCUACAUUGUUGCUCAUCUCCAAGCUCCCCAAACUCUUCCAUGUUUUUGGAGUGUUUUUUUUUCCUGUUUGUUUGGGGAGGAAAUGUCAAAGCAUUAAAACCUUCCAUCCCUUCUAUUUCACUGCCAAGACACGACCAAACCCACGGGCUUAUUUUAGGUUAGGCCGGUUCAUGGGGGUUUGGAGCAUUCCAGAAAGGUGCAAUCAUAGGAUCAUGGAAUGGUUUGGGUUGGAAAGGACCUUAAAGAUGAUCCAGUUCCAACCCCCUGCCAUGGACAGCGAUGCCACCCACGAGAUCAGCUUGCUCAGGGCCCCAAACAGCCUGGCCAAUGCCUGGUGCUAAUCUCAUUUCCCCUAAAUGCUGAAUCAAACAAUAGGAAGUAGCAAUAGAAGAAGGACAUCUGUGGCCCACCAACCUCUUCAACCUCCCCUGUCAGCUCUGAGAGAGGGGAGAGCCCUUUAUUUGUCAUUUUUCCCAGAGAAACUCAACCAACCGAGGGAGUGCUGGUUCCUGGAGGCAGGAACAGGCAGGAGGACGAAGGUACCACACAAAGACUUCCCCAGAUACCACCUCAGCACCGUGCAUCUCCACCCUCAGAGCCUCUUAGAGCAGCCUUUGGUGGAGGAUUGGGUCAGCAGCUGAAGGCUGCUCCUGGUUUUCACAGCCCGGGAUCCUGCUGGCUCCUGGGGGUCUCUGUUCCAGCAGCCCUGGGGCUGUGAGACACCGAGGCUGCUCUGCUGUGCAGUGACUCAGCUCCCCACCAGAAAAGGCCAGAGCUUUGCUCAUGGGUCAUGAUGAAGUCAUUAGUCCUGAAUUUCCAUCAGGCUGGACUGCAGUUCAACCAGCUCCCACGGCCUCAGAGUUUAUCUGAGCAAUUCCUCCCGGCUGGUUCUGCGGGAGCCGUGGGGAGAUGUCCCAUCACUGAUCCCCCUGCAGCCCUCCAGCUGCCCCAGCUUCUUGUCCAGCUCUGAAGGACAAACCUUCACCGUGCUUUCUUGUCUGCUCCCACACCUGACUGGCCAGACAAGGCAGAAAUCUGUUUAUUAAUUUAGCAUCCAGGUCAGGCAUGAAAGCAAAGGAUGUGAUGAGCUCACUGGCCUAAUGUCCUUAGCUGCUUGGGUUGAUUUAAGGUAUGUGUUUUGGUAAGGUCCAGAGACCAAUUUUUUCCUGUCUAAUAAAGCAGAUAAAUGAAAAGGAAACA